rnacentral:rRNA from 1 species
GGAAACAUGUCUAGCUUGCUAGAUGAUGUCGAGUGGCGGACGGGUGAGUAAUGCUUGGGAACUUGCCUUUGCGAGGGGGAUAACAGUUGGAAACGACUGCUAAUACCGCAUAAUGUCUACGGACCAAACAGGGCUUCGGCUCUGGCGCAAAGAGAGGCCCAAGUGAGAUUAGCUAGUUGGUGAGGUAAAGGCUCACCAAGGCAACGAUCUCUAGCUGUUCUGAGAGGAAGAUCAGCCACACUGGGACUGAGACACGGCCCAGACUCCUACGGGAGGCGGCAGUGGGGAAUAUUGCACAAUGGGGGAAACCCUGAUGCAGCCAUGCCGCGUGUGUGAAGAAGGCCUUCGGGUUGUAAAGCACUUUCAGUUGUGAGGAAAAGUUAGUAGUUAAUACCUGCUAGCCGUGACGUUAACAACAGAAGAAGCACCGGCUAACUCCGUGCCAGCAGCCGCGGUAAUACGGAGGGUGCGAGCGUUAAUCGGAAUUACUGGGCGUAAAGCGCACGCAGGCGGUUUGUUAAGCUAGAUGUGAAAGCCCCGGGCUCAACCUGGGACGGUCAUUUAGAACUGGCAGACUAGAGUCUUGGAGAGGGGAGUGGAAUUCCAGGUGUAGCGGUGAAAUGCGUAGAUAUCUGGAGGAACAUCAGUGGCGAAGGCGACUCCCUGGCCAAAGACUGACGCUCAUGUGCGAAAGUGUGGGUAGCGAACAGGAUUAGAUACCCUGGUAGUCCACACCGUAAACGCUGUCUACUAGCUGUUUGUGACUUUAAGUCGUGAGUAGCGAAGCUAACGCGAUAAGUAGACCGCCUGAAGAGUACGGCCG